rnacentral:rRNA from 1 species
GAGUCUUAACCGGGCGUUAAGUUGCAGGGUAUAGACCCGAAACCCGGUGAUCUAGCCAUGGGCAGGUUGAAGGUUGGGUAACACUAACUGGAGGACCGAACCGACUAAUGUUGAAAAAUUAGCGGAUGACCUGUGGCUGGGGGUGAAAGGCCAAUCAAACCGGGAGAUAGCUGGUUCUCCCCGAAAGCUAUUUAGGUAGCGCCUCGUGAAUUCAUCUCCGGGGGUAGAGCACUGUUUCGGCUAGGGGGCCAUCCCGGCUUACCAACCCGAUGCAAACUGCGAAUACCGGAGAAUGUUAUCACGGGAGACACACGGCGGGUGCUAACGUCCGUCGUGAAGAGGGAAACAACCCAGACCGCCAGCUAAGGUCCCAAAGUCAUGGUUAAGUGGGAAACGAUGUGGGAAGGCCCAGACAGCCAGGAUGUUGGCUUAGAAGCAGCCAUCAUUUAAAGAAAGCGUAAUAGCUCACUGGUCGAGUCGGCCUGCGCGGAAGAUGUAACGGGGCUAAACCAUG